UACAGAGGUCCCAAGCGUUGUUCGGAUUCACUGGGCGUAAAGGGUGCGUAGGCGGUCGGGUAAGUCUGAUGUGAAAUCUCACAGCUUAACUGUGAAACUGCAUUGGAUACUAUCCGGCUUGAGGAAUGGAGGGGAGACUGGAAUACUUGGUGGAGCGGUGAAAUGCGUUGAUAUCCUAAGGAACACCGGUGGCGAAAGCGGCUCACUGGAUCUCUUCUGACGCUGAGGCACGAAAGCUAGGGUAGCGAACGGG
rnacentral:rRNA from 1 species